UUGCAACUUUAUUAAUAGGGCUAGGAUUAAGGGAUCUGAAAUAUGCUCAUGGAGAAUAAGUAACGUCCUAGUAAUAUGGACACUCCGAAGCAACUAGUUAAUAGUGAGAAUUGGUCCUUUAAAAAAGUGUUACCAAACAUUAAAACAUUUUAUUUUAUUAUUACUAUUCUUAUUAUUUUUAAAGAUUGACAUUUUGAAUGUUUAGAGAACAUUUAGGACUUUGUUUUACAACUGAACCAACACUGAAAAAAGUGAUUUUGGAGAGUGGUAAAUAUAAUCUGUGGAAACCAUAUAAAAUUUACAUGAUUAUUGCAGCCAGCCAACGAAUUCUAAAGUAAUGGGUAAAUUCUACAUAUGCUACCCAUUCGUCAACAGUAAGAACCAUCACAUAGAAAAUGCAGUAAAAUAUACCCCCAAACCGUGAGUUUUGUUGCUUUAAAUUGCGCAUGCGUUAGCCCGCGUUUUUGAGUGAGUGUGGGCGACGCUGGAUCCUCUCUCUGGCUGCCAUCGAACAGCAGAAGUGAAGGCAGAGUCUGUGUAUGUGGACACUCACUAUUUGCCCUCUCUUCAGUUCCUCUUGUCUGUCCUCCACAAGCAGAGACUCACUGAUAGACCACUGUUACCAGUUUUAGUGUUGACACAUCCACCCACGUCCCCACCACAAGUGUAUCCUGUACAGACACAGAACAUUGAGAAAAAAAGAGAUGCUGUUGUCUGCUGCCUCAUUAACUACCUCGGUGAAAGACAAGAAGAUCUUUUCCAUGACUGCCAGGUAUGUCAUGAAGCUAAAGAACACGUUUGAAGCUUUUCAAACACUUUUUUUUUGGAAAUUGACGGGGCAAAACUACUGAAAAAGGUCCACAGCCUCAAAAAUAAGCUCAUGCAGUAGACACACAUUUCCCCUGUUGUUCGAAGAGGAUCUUUUGUCUGGACAUACUUUUAAUGGAGUUGGAACCUUUUAGUGUAGUUUUAUAUUUUUCUUCUUUUCCCUUAUUUGCUCCACACACACACAGAUCCAUCCACUCUCUCUCAGCCCACUCCAUUGCUCUGUGAUUUCCCCCAGAUUGACAGAAAAGGAAUACCAAUAGAAAGUGGCCUGAAGAAUUUUGAUCUCUCCUUCUACCCUCUUUCCCCCCCAUUUGAGAGUGAGAGCAAGCUCAAACUAAAGAAUGUUGGUGUUCUGUUUUAUCUUUAUCCAGAUACUUGAUACUGUACAUGCACAGAACCAACCAUGUGGAGUUUGUGUGUGUGCUUUUGAUUUUUAAAAUAGAAUAAGUGGCAUGUGUUGUUUGCAGUAGCCAAUUAUCCAGAAACAACAUUUGAAACUGUUAUCUUAGUGAGUUAUAAAAAGUCAAUUCGUUCAUUGUUGUGUGAAGCUGUUGUACUUUAUUUAGCACUUUAUUCUGUGUUUUUUGAUAAUUUGGUGCAUCAUUGCUGCAUAUAAACAAGGCUGUUCGGUUAUUUGUUAUAUGAAUACCUGGACCACAGAUUUGGUCAGUCACUGUUGUGUAAAUCUGAAGAGACACAAAGAGUUUAGUCUAAGAGUUUAGAUACAAGAAAAUCUUAAUGUGAUUGGACAUCCAGCACUGCUCUGAUCUCCUCACUUCUCCUUUCAUUUUCUCUUCUCCCUUCUCUCCUCACUUCUCUUUUCCGCUCUGAUCUGUGUGUCCUAAAACAGGGAUAUGUUUUAUUAUCCAACAUUAUUGAAACAAAAUUUGAUAGAUCAGUGAGUUAUAAAACAGGUUCAUUACUUGACAUGUUGUGUAAAGCUGUUGUGCUGCACUAUAUUUUGAGUGUUUCAU
ensembl:lncRNA